rnacentral:rRNA from 1 species
CCUACGGGAGGCUGCAGUGGGGAAUAUUGGACAAUGGGGGGAACCCUGAUCCAGCCAUGCCGCGUGUGUGAAGAAGGCCCUCGGGUUGUAAAGCACUUUCAGUGAGGAAGAACGCCUGGUGGUUAAUACCCAUCAGGAAAGACAUCACUCACAGAAGAAGCACCGGCUAACUCCGUGCCAGCAGCCGCGGUAAUACGGAGGGUGCGAGCGUUAAUCGGAAUUACUGGGCGUAAAGCGCGCGUAGGUGGCUUGAUAAGCCGGUUGUGAAAGCCCCGGGCUCAACCUGGGAACGGCAUCCGGAACUGUCCAGCUAGAGUGCAGGAGAGGAAGGUAGAAUUCCCGGUGUAGCGGUGAAAUGCGUAGAGAUCGGGAGGAAUACCAGUGGCGAAGGCGGCCUUCUGGACUGACACUGACACUGAGGUGCGAAAGCGUGGGUAGCAAACAGGAUUAGAUACCCUGGUAGUC